GCUGGGCAUGGUGGCACAUGCCUGUAGACCCAGGUACUCAAGAGGCUAAAAUAGGGGCAUUGCUUGAACCCAGAAACUCGAGACCAGUCUGGGCAAAAUAGUAAGACCCCAGA
rnacentral:sRNA from 1 species